CGAACAGACUUAACUUGAUUUUAUAUCUCCUCGCAGACACAGAUAAGGAUGAAUUCCAGAUCACAGUUUUCAGCCUUCCAGAUCAAGCUGUGCAAGAGAAUAUUUACGGGAUCCACAGAGAGGUCAUAAUCUGCAUAAUCUUUGAUAAACUAUAUUAUUGCCUGCCAAUGUAUUUGAGUCCUGGGGCCAUGCCACUAGACACAAACAAAAUCUGCUGAUGAGUUUUACAUUGCCAUCUGGCUUCCUUCUUAAUUGUUUGAAGCUUAAAAGUGGUCAAAUAUUGAGUUCCAGGGGGGAGAAAAAAUUCAUUCAUGUUUAAUGCACGUUGAUUUAGAAGAAAGGUUGUGCCAGAUCGGAAUCUUAGGGGGACUCAUUUAAUCUUUUCAUACAUAUACCCGUUUCAUCUUGCCAUCUUGGCACAGGGCUGGGGCAGCAGGGAUGCCACUGGAAAUGAAGUACUCAAGGACUCUCGACUAAAUGUUACAACAGGGCUGGGGAACCCCUUUUCAACCCAAGGUCCGCAUUUCCUCUCCAGAGAGCCACAUGCUAGUGCUGCAUGAGGCCAGAGGCAGACGUUGGCAGGGCCAGAGGCAAAACUGGGUGGAGCAAAGAUCCCUGAUGAGCUGUAGCAGGCAGCAGUAAAGUUGAGAGAAAGCCAGAUUGGACACCCACACAUAUAGCUGGAGAGACAUUCUGCUCGAAACACCACUUUGCAUUUUGCAGAAAAAGAGCUUGAAAAACUCUCUGAACUGAAACACAGACACUGAUCAAAAUUCGCACUUCCCUGAUGUAGAAAUGUAGAGAACAGAACUUACG